UAAUUAACCCCUCUCUCUCUCUCUCUCUCUCAGGUCUCACCUCUGCCGGUGGUGACGUUACAGCGACUGUGGGCGAGAAAGCAAUUUAGGUACACUUUCUAUCCUUCCCCUUGUUUUAUACUUCAGUUUUGUGGUUUGUGGUUUGUUGUUGUUGUCCUUAGGUAUAAGACCGUUCUCAAAUCUCUAAGAAACUCCAAAGGGAAGCUAAUCACCAUUGCAAACUGCCCUCCUCUCGGAAAAUCAGAGAUAAGAGUAUUACACAUUGUUGUUGAACGUUGGAGUCAUCACUUCAAUGGAAACAACGUGGAUAAUGGUAUACUCUGUAAGUCCUUCCAUCAAGCACUUUAUUUUCAAAAUACCCAAUCAUGAAAACAUUUAAGAUGGGCAUUCAUAGACCAGGAAUUGGCUACUGCUAUUUCUCAGAUUCAUGAUUUUGUGGUGUCACUGGGCAAGGAAGCCAUGUCGGUGCAGGACAGGUCUCCUGAUGGACAUGGAUUGUACAUAAAGAUUGAAGAGUUCUCUGCCUCUAUCAGGAAAAUUCUUCGCAGAAAAAUGAGUUUGGUUGACUUUGUUCUUGACCUUUCUCGUGUUAUGGCCAAAGCUGGUGAACUCAGCUUCAGUGGCCAGGGGUCUAAGGGAAAUGAAGGAGAAACCAGCAUGUCUGAUUGCAUAGAUAAAGUGGCAUUACCAGAAAAAAAAAAAAAAGGGUUUUCCUUGAUGACCCAGUGAGAGACCCAGACUUCAAGAUUUCUCCUCUAGCUCUUCAGUUAUUGGGCGAUUGUGCCAAGCAUUUUGGUUUCAAUCUUCAGAGUUUCCAGUCUAAGAAGAGGAGCAAGAAGAAAAAUGCAGCUCCAAGGUCUGAUACCGUUCAACUGAAUGGAUCUCCUCAGAAAAUCCUGACGGAUGUGUUACAUGUGAAGAAUCUCGCCUCCUCUCGUGGCGAUGGCAUCGAGCGGGAACUUGAUCUCUACAAUUAGGAGAUUCUUAAGGAAAUUGGAGCUUCUCAUUCGAGACUUUCCAAAAGAUUCAAGGUUUUCAACUGUGUUCUGCCCCGACAACAAAAAUUUUCUUGAGGCUGCAGAAGACCAUAUGCUGCAAGUUUCAGAUAUAAUUGAAGAAAGAGUUCUAGUUCAUUCAUCGAUUGAAUUGUAUUCCAUGGUAGGAGUAUCUUUCAUUUGGCUUUUUAUGUUGAUUGUCAUUACUUGGCCCUCUGCUACCCACACUAUACUUAUGGGCAUGUACCAUUGAUUCUACUUAGUGGCUCUGCAGACAACAUUGUUUGAUGAAUCAUUUGUGGAAAUCCUUAUAAACAGAAGAUGGUAGUUUUGCUCCCUAA